CAACCUGCCUGUAAGACUGGGAUAACACCGGGAAACCGGUGCUAAUACCGGAUAAUCCUUUUCCUCUCAUGAGGAAAAGCUGAAAGUCGGUUUCGGCUGACACUUACAGAUGGGCCCGCGGCGCAUUAGCUAGUUGGUGAGGUAACGGCUCACCAAGGCGACGAUGCGUAGCCGACCUGAGAGGGUGAUCGGCCACACUGGGACUGAGACACGGCCCAGACUCCUACGGGAGGCAGCAGUAGGGAAUCUUCCACAAUGGACGAAAGUCUGAUGGAGCAACGCCGCGUGAGCGAUGAAGGCCUUCGGGUCGUAAAGCUCUGUUGUUAGGGAAGAACAAGUACCGGAGUAACUGCCGGUACCUUGACGGUACCUAACCAGAAAGCCACGGCUAACUACGUGCCAGCAGCCGCGGUAAUACGUAGGUGGCAAGCGUUGUCCGGAAUUAUUGGGCGUAAAGCGCGCGCAGGCGGUCCUUUAAGUCUGAUGUGAAAGCCCACGGCUCAACCGUGGAGGGUCAUUGGAAACUGGGGGACUUGAGUACAGAAGAGGAAAGCGGAAUUCCACGUGUAGCGGUGAAAUGCGUAGAGAUGUGGGAGGAACA
rnacentral:rRNA from 2 species